rnacentral:rRNA from 1 species
GGAGGGUGCAAACGUUGCUCGGAAUUAUUGGGCGUAAAGAGCGCGUAGGCGGUUCGGUCAGUCUGACGUGAAAUCCCGGAGCUUAACUCCGGAACUGCGUUGGAUACUGCCGGGCUUGAGUGUGGGAGAGGAGAGUGGAAUUCCCAGUGUAGAGGUGAAAUUCAUAGAUAUUGGGAGGAACACCAGUGGCGAAGGCGGCCUUCUAGCCCGAUACUGACACUGAGACGCGAAAGCGUGGGGAGCAAACAGGAUUAGAUACCCUGGUAGUCCACGCCGUAAACGAUGGGCACUAGGUGUAGGAGGUUUUAUCCCUUCUGUGCCGAAGCUAACGCAUUAAGUGCCCCGCCUGGGGAGUACGGCCGCAAGGCUA